AACUUUAUUUAAACAAAAAUCACUGACAGAGGUACACGUGAGAAGACUGAGCCCAGUGUUCAUCAGAGCAGCUGGAUCUGAUCUGAUAGUUUGACACGAUGAUUUUUGUGUCGGGUCACACAUUUUGAAGCCAAUAUGAUCAUCUUCUCCCACCAACGAUGGGAACACAGUUUAAUACACUGAAUCAUACGAACAGUAAGUAAGAACAUACAAAGAACAGCAAGACAACACAGAGACAGACAGAAAGAGCAGCUUUCCACUUGUCCUCCAGUCAGAAACAGCUGGUACUGGUCAGGUACUGGUCAGGGGCUGGUCAGGUACUGGUCAGGGGCUGGUCAGGGCUCUGGCUCAGGGCCAUCUGCAGCUGGGUGCCCUUUGAUGAACUCUUUGCUUUGCCUUAUCACAACAGGUCACGACACAGUCAAACACCACAUAUUAAUCCUAGUUGUUAAAUCUCACAACAAGCAGAAUGCAUCAACAGGUGCUCUUACAGCAAGUGGCAUAAUCUGAUGAUAAACAUGUUAAUAAUACUUGACCUAAUUAUACAGGUUAUAUAGUAUUGUAAUGAUCAUUAAGGUGACUUUAUUGUGAUGUGUUCAGUAUCUCUGAUACAAUGUUACCACCUUAAUAACCCACGGUGAGGGCAAAAAGUCUUGUGCUUAAGAGUCUACUUGAAAGUUACAGUAUAUAUGUUCACUGCACAUAGAUAUAUGGUGCAUAGAGUUGUACAGGUAUACUUUCCCAACAUUCCCCUGGUCAACCAAUUUAAGACAUAUGAAUUCCUGUUCGUUUGCAAAGCAUACAACACAGCAUCCCUAAAAUAAUUCUCAAGAAACUUAAAACAAGCCUAAUUAUCGGAAAAUGAAAAUGAGUCAUGAAACAUACCGGUAGACACAUAUUACAUAAAUGGAUUACAUGACACCAUAUGUGAAAUUGAAAUUGAUAUAAUUAAACAAUUAAUUCCCAGUUUUGGGUUUCAUCUUGGUCGGUGCAGCUUCUUUUUCUGAACGUCUCAGUGUGAGCUGUGAAAUGUCCUUUGAUAGCUUCAAGGUUAAUUCUGGAGUUCCACAGGGCUCAGUGCUAGGACCAGUUCUGUUUACAUUACACAUGCGUCCUUUAGUUAACACCACUAUAGGCACAACAUACCUCCGUCAUGCAGAUGACACUCUCCUCCAUGUAUCCAUCCAUGAAACCAGACAGCACACACCAGUCAACCUGCAGGAAUGCCUCCAGAAAACAAAGACCUGGAUGACCUCUAACAUUUUGCUCCUAAAGUUUAUUGUACUCUCUCCUAAAAAAAUCGUAGACAUAUAUGGUAUCUAACCAGAUACUUAGUCUGGAUUUUUAACCAGGAUCCUUCCUUCAAUGCACAUAUUGAAAACUGCUUUCUCCCAUUUUUGCACCCAUGUUUCUAUCUCUAAAAUUAGAAAUAUUCUGUCGCACAGUGACUGAAAAACUAGUUCAUGCAUUUAUUACUUCCAGGCUGGACUACUGUAAUUCAUUAUUAUCAGGAUGUCCUAAAAACUCCCUGAAAAGUCUUCAACCAUGAAUACUGACAGGGACUAGAUGACAGAGUAUAUCUCUGUCAUGAGCUCUUUAUUAAAUCUCUCUCCAUUACAACACUUUCCUCUCAAACCUCAGACUAACUAGAAUAUUUAAAUUAGAAUGGGAAGCCUGGCCUCCAGUUUCCAGGAGUAAUUAUUAGUUAUGAGUUAUGGUCAGUCUCUCUCUUCCACAGCAUGGUCGGGGGCAGGGAUAGGUCAGUAGGUAGUGUGGACGCCCCCACUGAACGGCUACCCUGAGGUACUCCUGAGGUACCGUCCCUGCACACUGCUCCCCGGGCGCCUGAUUCUUCUGCUGCCCACUGUUACACUGAGUUAAAUGCAGAGAUAGUAAUUUCUCCCCAUGGAGAUCAAUAAGGUAUAAGUUAUUAUGUGUUUUGUCGUGUCUCCUUCUCCUCACCCCAACUGGUCACUGACGACCACUCUCCCCUGUGCCUCGUUCUGCUGGAUGUUUCCUCCUGUUCAAAGGGAGUUCCUCCUCUCCCCAACUCCAAAGUUCUUGCUAAAAGAAGUUCAGAUAAACUUUGUUAAUGUUUUAUUAUUAUAAUUUACCAUUACAAUAUAACUUGAGACAACUGGUGUCAUGAUUUCGUGCUGUUUAACCUUGAGCUGAAUACACUACAGCAUGACAGCCUUUGUUCUUACAGUAAAGGAGCCAUUGAAAAGCUAAAGCAGCUGUAUUAGACUAAUCAUACACAUUUUCACAGACAUGCAUGAAUUUCAGUUUACAGACAAUCAUACGAAGUUCCCUAAUUGGACCUUGUUACAUAUUUGGGUCGUUGACUCUGAGGCAGACAAUUUACCUAACACCCCAUUUUCCUUAAUUUGAAAAAAUACAUGUAAUUGAAAUCCUUCUGGUUUGCAGCGUAAUAUAUGAGCACAGACAGGAGCUCUGAGUCAGCAAAACUUUAUUACAAAUGAGACAGUGAGAGUGAGGAGGUCCGACAGAUAUUCGAGGAUGCAGCUGAUGCAACAUCAAUGAACUCUGUCAUUGGACAUAUUGAAAAAUGCAUGGACGAUAUCAUCACUUAAACCACCGUCUGCAAAUAUCCAAAUCAGAAACCCUGGUAGAUAAGGACAUUCCUGCUAAGCUCAAAGUGCAGACCUCUGCCUUUAACUCAGGGCAUUCUGAUGCAUAUACAGCAGCCAGGUAUGACCUCUGAAAAGGGGCCACAAAGGACUACAGGGACAAAGUGGAGUCCAGCUACCACAACUUUGACGCCAGGCGACUGUAGAAUGGACUACGCUGCAUUACUGACGACAAGAUGGAAAACACAGGCAGUGUUCAGCCCACAGCGUCUCUCGCAGACGAGCUCAACAACUUCUAUGAUCAUUUUGUCGCAGACAACGAGGAGCCGCUCCUCUAUCCUCAGGAGCACAGUGAGGCUGUAACUUUAACUCUUAAAACAGAAGCUGUGAGAUGGUCUUUCAAAAAGGUCAAUCUUCACAAAGCUCUGGGACCAGACGGCAUCCCAGGCCGGGUUCUCAGAGCAUGCACCGACCAGCUGACAGGGGUGUUCACCAACAUCUUCAACCUCUCCCUGAGGCAGUCAGUGGUCCCCACAUCCCUCAAAACAACCACCAUCAUUCUCGUUCCUAAGAAAUCAGAGGUCUCCUGUCUGAAAUACUACCGCCCUGUUGCACUGACAUCCGUCAUCAUGAAGUGCCUUGAGUGGCUGGUCAAAGGUCACAUCUGCUCCUCCCUCCAUGUUACAUAUCUGCAAAGUUUGGCAUGAACGCCAACAUCCCUUCAAAUUUCUACAAUCUAAGACCGAGAGCUUGCUGAUGAGCUGCAUUACAGUUUGGAACAGAAGCUGCUCUGCAGCAGCAGGAAAUCACAGAGCAUCACUGGCAUGAGGCUUCCUGCCACUCAGGAUGUUUAUCUCCAGCAGUGUCUCUGCAAAGCACACAGCAUCAUCAAGGAGCACAGCCACUCAGCACAUCAGCUGUUCUCCUUGUUACCAUCUGACGUUACAGGAGUCUGUCUGCUCGGACUACAAGACUCAGAAACUCUUUUUACCAUCAAGCCAUUCGGCACCACAACACAUAAUCCCUAAAUGAUGUAACGUUUAUGUAAAUCCCUCUGUGUAGGUCUCAUCCCUUCAAUAAUGUGAUGCUCAUUGGGGCCAUUUUCUUAGCUUCUUUAAAUAAAGUUAGUACAGCCAUAUAAACCAA